rnacentral:rRNA from 1 species
AAGACCUUGCGCUUUUGGAGCGGCCGAUGUCUGAUUAGCUUGUUGGUGAGGUAAAAGCUUACCAAGGCUUCGAUCAGUAGCUGGUCUGAGAGGACGGCCAGCCACACUGGGACUGAGACACGGCCCAGACUCCUACGGGAGGCAGCAGUGGGGAAUUUUGGACAAUGGGGGCAACCCUGAUCCAGCCAUGCCGCGUGAGUGAAGAAGGCCUUCGGGUUGUAAAGCUCUUUCAGCCGGAACGAAACGGUUACGGUUAAUACCCGUGACUACUGACGGUACCGGAAGAAGAAGCACCGGCUAACUACGUGCCAGCAGCCGCGGUAAUACGUAGGGUGCAAGCGUUAAUCGGAAUUACUGGGCGUAAAGCGUGCGCAGGUGGUUUUGUAAGUCAGAUGUGAAAUCCCCGGACUUAACCUGGGAACU